UACGUAGGGCGCAAGCGUUAUCCGGAAUUAUUGGGCGUAAAGAGCUCGUAGGCGGUUUGUCGCGUCUGCCGUGAAAACCCGGGGCUCAACUCCGGGCCUGCAGCCGAUACGGGCAGACUAGAGUUCGGCAGGGGAGACUGGAAUUCCUGGUGUAGCGGUGAAAUGCGCAGAUAUCAGGAGGAACACCGGUGGCGAAGGCGGGUCUCUGGGCCGAUACUGACGCUGACAGCGCGAAAGCUAGGGGAGCGAACGGG
rnacentral:rRNA from 1 species